rnacentral:rRNA from 1 species
GGGGAAUAUUGCGCAAUGGGCUAAAGCCUGACGCAGCGACGCCGCGUGAGGGAUGAAGGUUUUCGGAUCGUAAACCUCUGUCAGAAGGGAAGAAAAAAAGACGGUACCCAAGAAGAAAGUCCCGGCUAACUACGUGCCAGCAGCCGCGGUAAUACGUAGGGGACAAGCGUUGUCCGGAUUUACUGGGCGUAAAGGGCACGCAGGCGGUUUUUUAAGUCAGAUGUGAAAGGUACCGGCUCAACCGGUGACAUGCAUUUGAAACUGAAAGACUUGAGUAUUGGAGAGGCAAGUGGAAUUCCUAGUGUAGCGGUGAAAUGCGUAGAUAUUAGGAGGAACACCGGUGGCGAAGGCGGCUUGCUGGACAAAUACUGACGCUGAGGUGCGAAAGCGUGGGGAGCAAACA